rnacentral:lncRNA from 1 species
AUGGCCUGAACCCCCGAAACCCAAAGAACACCUCAAAUGGGACUGAAAACAAAUAUUCGUAAAUGUCCCCUGCAUAAUUGUAUCUGAAUUACGUAUGUAUCUGACGCAUGUAUGAACAUCUCACUUCAAGCCACUAUGCAUCAUUCAUGCCCUAAACAUCAAAUUGGUGACGAAAUCCGAUUCCGGCCUCCGAUUCAGAUCCUGAUUAAUCUCAUUGGAGUAGGGAUGUGAGAGGUACCAACUUGGAAGUGGUAAAGGUGGCACCAAGGCUUGCUGAUCCAAAUUCGAGCGCGCGUAACAAUCUGGAGAUAUCAACUUUCUCAGAGGAGGCCGGGACUGCAAAUUGAACCGUUGGAUGUUCCUUUCCUAACCGCUGUCAUCUAGCUGCAUAGCGGGUUGAUCGUGACCUUAAGGGGUUCAAUCCUAGUAGUUAUGUGUUCUGGUACUAGUUUAAUCAAUGUUUAAAUGUUUGAUGACUUUUGUUUGGUUUCUGGGCUAGUUCUUCUUUUAUAUUGGUAGUAAAGUAAUAGUAAUUUGCAUUUGGUUAAGCUGGGUUGU